rnacentral:lncRNA from 1 species
UGGAAUCAGGAAGGGAGCCCAGAGGGGGAGGGGAAGAGGGGCAAGUGUCCGUCAGAGGGGAACUGUGGUGUCCCAGCUCCAUCAGUGCUGAUAAAUUUCCUCCCACGGGGGAGGGUGUGCUCCCCGCUCCCUGCCUCUUGUGGGGGUGGAGUGUGUGUGUCCAGGUGGGGGCAGAGAGUAAAUAAGGAGGGGCAGAGAGGGAGGAAGCAAGAGGGACCCUUCUUUGCCCCCUCUCACCAUCUGCAACCCUCUACCCCCCUCCUGUCUGACGGGUCUGGAUGGGGGCUGCGGGUGGAGCCCACAUUCAGGGCAAGAGCUGGGCUGCGCAGCUACGCUGCAGAUGGGCACAGAGACGCCCUCCCAGGACCCUGCUCACUUUCCCUUUGCUCCCUGUCGACUCUCCUACCUGGCAGGACCCCUCCUGGUGGCAGAAGCUACAGGGAGCAGCCCCAGCAUCCCUGCCCUGGGAGGAGUCACAGGAGGCUGAGUGGGAACUGCUGUCAUGGAGGAGAAAGUCAUUUAGGAUUGCAGAAGAUGCGUCGCGGCUGGGCUCCCAACCGGGGCACAGAGGGUCAAUCUGGAAGCAUCCUGAGACAACAUCUAGCCUGGAGCCCUUGUCUCACAGAGGAGGUCCAGAGACUCAAGCCGGUCCCACUGCGAGGCAGGUGCCCAGGGGACUGGGAGCCAAGCCUCUUGGGCCUGAUCCAUGCUUCCUCCCUGUGCACCCGGCUCCCCUCCUCCCUGAGAGCUGAGAAGGGUUGGGUCCCUCUGAGCCUCCUGGUUUGUUUCUGACUUCCCAGCCAUCUGGUAGACCCUUCCUCAAGCGUCUCCUCAGCGCUACCUGCUCCAGGCUGCCCUUCUGGAUUAACUGCCCGGCGUCCACAUUGGCUUGAUUUCCUCUGCUCUGUGGGCUAAGGGCAUGCCUAGAUUAUUUGUACUUAUUUGCGCAUGUUUGUAUCUUUCUCUGAAUGGAUGAUGUCCUUUCUUCAUGGUGUGGUCAGCCUCCCCCAUCAGACUGGGUAUUAGUCCCGGGCAGGUGGCUUGUUUCCCGCCUCAGACUGGGAGCUGCUGUAGGACAGGGCCUGUUCCUCCUCCAUCAGACUGGGGGCCCCCUGUGCACAGGGGGAUCGACAACUUGAACUUGAAGUUCUCUCAUAGCCCCAGUCCCCCCUGCCUCUCUGGCACACGUGCGGUAGUUACCAGCUCCAUCCCUCCCUUCCUCCUUCGCUGUGCUCUCCCCACCCCACAACACAACAAAUCCCGAAAUCGUGGGAGCAGCUGCCAGUGGGGACAUCAGGUAAAGGAUGGCAGAGCUGGCAAAGCUUGGAGGACAGCCGAGGACCAUGCAGCCCGUUGCCCUCCUCCCACCCCGUAGCAGUCACCUCUCUCAGAGGGGGGAGUGUAGGAGGUGUGGACUGGCCAGGCUGGGUGGUGCCCGGGACUUCACACCUUGAGACCUGAAUACCAUCAAGACUGAGGCACCAGAGGGACCAUCUGGCCUCUGGAUUCUAGUUAAAGGCCCUGGCUUGUUCCAGGCACAGGCCGUGGCAGGGUCAUGGCCAUGUGACUGAUCA